UGCGCAUUAAUGAUGACUACACAGAAAACCUAUCAUGGAUUUGUGUAUAUCUGAUGUUUCGUGUA
rfam:Ornithorhynchus anatinus chromosome 4, whole genome shotgun sequence.